AAUCUCAGUGGGAAAGACAGUGGAGACUGAGGCUGACUCUGAGGGUCUAAGUCUGGGGCCUCAGGUUAACAGAAUUGAUGAGUGGCUGGCAAGAUGUCUCAGUUGAUAAAGGUUCUCCUUUUGGAACUCAGACUAGCCUGGGAUUCUAAGUAAUUCUCUCAUCUCAGCAUCUGAAAAUGCCGGAGAUUACAGGUGUGAGCUGCCCUUCUCAGUCUGACUAGAAGUUUUCAUUAGAGAAAGCAGAGGAGGCAGAGCUCUCAGAAGUGAAGAAGACUGGGUGCAGGCUACAGAUGAUCUGAGGUGUUGCUAGCACCCAGGUCAAACAGCUCAAAACUGCCUAUGUCUCCUGCUCCAGAGAAUCCAGUGCCUCUGUCUGGCACGUCUGACACCCGGACUCACGUGCACAUACCCACACACAAACACAUAAUUAAAAAUAAUAAAAGUUAAAAAAAAGUUAAAAUAAAAAUAUUAAACUUGUCUUUUAAAAUAU
ensembl:lincRNA Gm43936 predicted gene, 43936